UGUGGCUCCUGGUUUUAAAUU
rnacentral:piRNA from 1 species